GACGUAGGGCGCGAGCGUUGUCCGGAUUUAUUGGGCGUAAAGAGCUCGUAGGCGGCUCAUUGCGUCAACCGUGAAAACCUGCCGCUCAACGGUAGGCUUGCGGUUGAUACGGGUGGGCUGGAGUUCGGUAGGGGAGACUGGAAUUCCUGGUGUAGCGGUGAAAUGCGCAGAUAUCGGGAAGAACACCCGUGGCGAAGGCGGCUCUCUGGGACGGUACCGACGCUGAGACGCGAAAGCGUGGGGAGCGAACAGG
rnacentral:rRNA from 1 species